rnacentral:rRNA from 1 species
UACGAGUGCUCCAAGCGUUAUCCGGAAUCAUUGGGCGUAAAGGGUGUGUAGGCGGUUGUAUUAGUCUUUUGUUAAAUUCUUCGGCUUAACCGGGGGCAUGCGAAAGAAACGGUACAACUAGAGGAUGCGAGAGGUAUAUGGAACUCAUGGAGUAGGGGUGAAAUCCGUUGAUAUCAUGGGGAACACCAAAAGCGAAGGCAAUAUACUGGCGCACUCCUGACGCUGAAACACGAAAGCGUAGGUAGCGAAUGGG